UACAGAGGUCUCAAGCGUUGUUCGGAUUCAUUGGGCGUAAAGGGUGCGUAGGCGGCGCGGUAAGUCGGGUGUGAAAUCUCGGAGCUUUAACUCCGAAACUGCAUUCGAUACUGCCGUGCUUGAGGACUGGAGAGGAGACUGGAAUUUACGGUGUAGCGGUGAAAUGCGUAGAUAUCGUAAGGGAAGACCAGUGGCGAAGGCGGGU
rnacentral:rRNA from 1 species